UGAUGAUCCCUCACGGCGUGGCCAACCUUCAAACCAUGCAGUUUAUGGUGUUGACAUGGCUAUCCUUGCAGGUGAUGCACUUUUCCCCCUUGGCUUCCAACAUAUUGUCUCACACACACCCUUUGAUCUUGUUCCCGAGUCUCGCCUGCUCCGUGUGGUUGCUGAGAUUGCCCGAGCUGUUGGUUCCAGAGGCAUGGCAGCUGGACAGUUUCUUGACCUUGAGGGAGGACCCAACUCCGUUGAAUUCGUCCAAGAAAAGAAAUUUGGUGAACUGGCUCAGUGUUCUGCAGUAUGUGGAGGACUUCUAGCUGGAGCAGAAGACCAUGAGAUACAGAGAUUAAGAAGGUACGGAAGAUCGGUUGGUGUGUUGUAUCAGGUAGUUGAUGAUAUUUUGGAAGAACAAUCGAAAAAACUCGAAGAAACAAAUAAGAGUAAGAGGAAAAAAGGGAAGAGCUAUGUUGGAGUAUAUGGGAUUGAGAAAGCUAAGGAGGUGGCAGAGGAACUGAGGACCAAAGCUAAGAAGGAAUUGGAAGGAUUUGAGAAGUAUGGAGAUAAAGUGAUGCCUUUGUACAGCUUUG
rnacentral:misc_RNA from 1 species